CCUACGGGAGGCAGCAGUGGGGAAUAUUGCACAAUGGGGGAAACCCUGAUGCAGCGACGCCGCGUGAGUGAAGAAGUAUUUCGGUAUGUAAAGCUCUAUCAGCAGGGAAGACAUAGCGACCAUUGGGUCGCCAGACGGUACCUGAUUAAGCAGCACCGGCUAACUACGUGCCAGCAGCCGCGGUAAUACGGAGGGGGCAAGCGUGAUCCGGAUUUACUGGGGGUAAAGGGAGCGUAGACGGCAGCGCAAGUCUGAAGUGAAAUGCCGGGGCUUAACCCCGGAACUGCGUUGGAAACUGUGCAGCUAGAGUGCAGGAGAGGUAAGUGGAAUUCCUAGUGUAGCGGUGAAAUGCGUAGAUAUUAGGAGGAACACCAGUGGCGAAGGCGGCUUACUGGACUGUAACUGACGUUGAGGCUCGAAAGCGUGGGGAGCAAACAGGAUUAGAUACCCCAGUAGUC
rnacentral:rRNA from 1 species